CCAUGGAAGAUGAGGAGUCCAUGGAAGAUGAGGAGUCUGUUGAAGAUGAUUCCGUGGAGAGCAGGAUGGUGGUGACAUUUCUCAUAUCAGCUCUCGAGUCCACGAUGUUGGAAUUUCUGAUGAAUCUGCAGUCAGCAUUUUGCAUGAACUGUGUGUGGAUUCAUUGCCUACAUUGGAUGAUGAAGACUUGAGUGUUGCUACUAAGUGUGUCCCCGAGAAAGUGUCAGAGCCUUUACGUGGACCUUCUCAUGAAAAAGGAAACAGAAUAGUCAAUGGAAAAGGAAAAGGGCCUCCUGCAAAACAUCCUUCCUUGAAGCCUAGCACUGAAGUGGAAGAUCCUGCUGUGAAAGGAGCAGUACAAAGAAAGAAUGUACAGACAUUGAGAGCAGAACAAACCUUACCAGUGGCUUUAGAGGAAGAGCAAGAAAGGUGUGAAAGAAGUGAAAAGAAGCAAUCACAGGUCAAAGAAGGAAAUAAUACAAACAAAAGUGAAAAAAUACAACUAUCAGAAAAUGUAUGUCAUAGUACAUCUUCUGCUGCUGCUGACAGAUUAACCAAAGAAAGAAAGAUUGGGAAAACGUAUCCUCAGCAAUUUCCCAAGAAACUGAAGGAAGAGCAUGAUAGAUGCAUCUUAAGACAAGAAAGUGAAGAAAAAACAAAUGUUAAUAUGCUGUACAAAAAAAUAGAGAAGAAUUAGAAAGGAAAGGGAAACAAUAUAAGAAAGAAGUUGAAGCAAAACAACUUGAACCAACUAUUCAAUCACUAGAGAUGAAACCGAAGACUACAAGAAAUACUCCAAAUCAGAUAAAUAAAUCUUUGGAUUUUCAUAAUCAGGAAGAAAUGAAAGAUCUGAUGGAUGAAAAUUGCAUUUUGAAGACAGAUAUUGCUAUACUCCGACAGGAAAUACGCACAAUGAAAAAUGACAACCUGGAAAAAGAAAAUAAAUAUCUUAAGGACGUUAAAAUUGUUAAAAAAAACAAACGCUGCCCUUGAAAAGUAUAUAAAACUCAAUGAGGAAUUGAUAACAAGAACAGCAUUCCGGUAUCAACAAGAGCUUAAUGAUCUCAAAGCUGAGAAUACAAGGCUCAAUUCCGAUCUGUUGAAGGAAGAAGAAAGCAACAAAAGACUGGAAGCUGAAAUUGAAUCAUCAGUCUAGACUGACUGCUGCUAUAAGUAAGCACAGUGAAAGUGUGAAAAC
rnacentral:lncRNA from 1 species